rnacentral:rRNA from 2 species
GUUAAGCGACUAAGCGUACACGGUGGAUGCCCUGGCAGUCAGAGGCGAUGAAGGACGUGCUAAUCUGCGAUAAGCGUCGGUAAGGUGAUAUGAACCGUUAUAACCGGCGAUUUCCGAAUGGGGAAACCCAGUGUGAUUCGUCACACUAUCAUUAACUGAAUCCAUAGGUUAAUGAGGCGAACCGGGGGAACUGAAACAUCUAAGUACCCCGAGGAAAAGAAAUCAACCGAGAUUCCCCCAGUAGCGGCGAGCGAACGGGGAGCAGCCCAGAGCCUGAAUCAGUGUGUGUGUUAGUGGAAGCGUCUGGAAAGGCGUGCGAUACAGGGUGACAGCCCCGUACACAAAAAUGCACAUACUGUGAGCUCGAUGAGUAGGGCGGGACACGUGGUAUCCUGUCUGAAUAUGGGGGGACCAUCCUCCAAGGCUAAAUACUCCUGACUGACCGAUAGUGAACCAGUACCGUGAGGGAAAGGCGAAAAGAACCCCGGCGAGGGGAGUGAAAAAGAACCUGAAACCGUGUACGUACAAGCAGUGGGAGCACGCUUAGGCGUGUGACUGCGUACCUUUUGUAUAAUGGGUCAGCGACUUAUAUUCUGUAGCAAGGUUAACCGAAUAGGGGAGCCGAAGGGAAACCGAGUCUUAACUGGGCGUUAAGUUGCAGGGUAUAGACCCGAAACCCGGUGAUCUAGCCAUGGGCAGGUUGAAGGUUGGGUAACACUAACUGGAGGACCGAACCGACUAAUGUUGAAAAAUUAGCGGAUGACUUGUGGCUGGGGGUGAAAGGCCAAUCAAACCGGGAGAUAGCUGGUUCUCCCCGAAAGCUAUUUAGGUAGCGCCUCGUGAAUUCAUCUCCGGGGGUAGAGCACUGUUUCGGCAAGGGGGUCAUCCCGACUUACCAACCCGAUGCAAACUGCGAAUACCGGAGAAUGUUAUCACGGGAGACACACGGCGGGUGCUAACGUCCGUCGUGAAGAGGGAAACAACCCAGACCGCCAGCUAAGGUCCCAAAGUCAUGGUUAAGUGGGAAACGAUGUGGGAAGGCCCAGACAGCCAGGAUGUUGGCUUAGAAGCAGCCAUCAUUUAAAGAAAGCGUAAUAGCUCACUGGUCGAGUCGGCCUGCGCGGAAGAUGUAACGGGGCUAAACCAUGCACCGAAGCUGCGGCAGCGACGCUUAUGCGUUGUUGGGUAGGGGAGCGUUCUGUAAGCCUGUGAAGGUGUGCUGUGAGGUAUGCUGGAGGUAUCAGAAGUGCGAAUGCUGACAUAAGUAACGAUAAAGCGGGUGAAAAGCCCGCUCGCCGGAAGACCAAGGGUUCCUGUCCAACGUUAAUCGGGGCAGGGUGAGUCGACCCCUAAGGCGAGGCCGAAAGGCGUAGUCGAUGGGAAACAGGUUAAUAUUCCUGUACUUGGUGUUACUGCGAAGGGGGGACGGAGAAGGCUAUGUUGGCCGGGCGACGGUUGUCCCGGUUUAAGCGUGUAGGCUGGUUUUCCAGGCAAAUCCGGAAAAUCAAGGCCGAGGCGUGAUGACGAGGCACUACGGUGCUGAAGCAACAAAUGCCCUGCUUCCAGGAAAAGCCUCUAAGCAUCAGGUAACAUCAAAUCGUACCCCAAACCGACACAGGUGGUCAGGUAGAGAAUACCAAGGCGCUUGAGAGAACUCGGGUGAAGGAACUAGGCAAAAUGGUGCCGUAACUUCGGGAGAAGGCACGCUGAUACGUAGGUGAAGCGACUUGCUCGUGGAGCUGAAAUCAGUCGAAGAUACCAGCUGGCUGCAACUGUUUAUUAAAAACACAGCACUGUGCAAACACGAAAGUGGACGUAUACGGUGUGACGCCUGCCCGGUGCCGGAAGGUUAAUUGAUGGGGUUAGCGCAAGCGAAGCUCUUGAUCGAAGCCCCGGUAAACGGCGGCCGUAACUAUAACGGUCCUAAGGUAGCGAAAUUCCUUGUCGGGUAAGUUCCGACCUGCACGAAUGGCGUAAUGAUGGCCAGGCUGUCUCCACCCGAGACUCAGUGAAAUUGAACUCGCUGUGAAGAUGCAGUGUACCCGCGGCAAGACGGAAAGACCCCGUGAACCUUUACUAUAGCUUGACACUGAACAUUGAGCCUUGAUGUGUAGGAUAGGUGGGAGGCUUUGAAGUGUGGACGCCAGUCUGCAUGGAGCCGACCUUGAAAUACCACCCUUUAAUGUUUGAUGUUCUAACGUGGACCCGUGAUCCGGGUUGCGGACAGUGUCUGGUGGGUAGUUUGACUGGGGCGGUCUCCUCCUAAAGAGUAACGGAGGAGCACGAAGGUUGGCUAAUCCUGGUCGGACAUCAGGAGGUUAGUGCAAUGGCAUAAGCCAGCUUGACUGCGAGCGUGACGGCGCGAGCAGGUGCGAAAGCAGGUCAUAGUGAUCCGGUGGUUCUGAAUGGAAGGGCCAUCGCUCAACGGAUAAAAGGUACUCCGGGGAUAACAGGCUGAUACCGCCCAAGAGUUCAUAUCGACGGCGGUGUUUGGCACCUCGAUGUCGGCUCAUCACAUCCUGGGGCUGAAGUAGGUCCCAAGGGUAUGGCUGUUCGCCAUUUAAAGUGGUACGCGAGCUGGGUUUAGAACGUCGUGAGACAGUUCGGUCCCUAUCUGCCGUGGGCGCUGGAGAACUGAGGGGGGCUGCUCCUAGUACGAGAGGACCGGAGUGGACGCAUCACUGGUGUUCGGGUUGUCAUGCCAAUGGCACUGCCCGGUAGCUAAAUGCGGAAGAGAUAAGUGCUGAAAGCAUCUAAGCACGAAACUUGCCCCGAGAUGAGUUCUCCCUGACCCUUUAAGGGUCCUGAAGGAACGUUGAAGACGACGACGUUGAUAGGCCGGGUGUGUAAGCGCAGCGAUGCGUUGAGCUAACCGGUACUAAUGAACCGUGAGGCUUAACCUUACAACGCCGAAG